rnacentral:lncRNA from 1 species
ACCUUUCAUCUUCCUCGAGCUCUCCUCUGUUAUUCCGCCAUCGAACCGCCGGUGGCGGCGGAGCUCCAAUUAACCCCAAAACUCUACCAUAUACUCCUCUCCUCACCCCCCUUCCACUCCCAUCAUCAUCUUCUCCCAAAACCCAGCCCAGAUCUUCGAAUUUCAAAUCUGAAGAUUAGUGUAAACCUCUAGUCCGUCCAAAUCCUAUAAAAUCGAUACCAAACUAUUCCCUGACCUCCCUUUCCAAGAUUCCUCGGUAUAAAAUUCUUCGAGCCACUCUGAAGUUCAUCUAACAGUGAGUCAAGGGUGUUAUCAAUUUGGUGCAGCUUUGAAGAUUUUUUGAAGUCGAGUCGAUUUUCCGUUGACGUUAUUUGCUUAUUCUAGUUUGAAUGGGCAAAUAACGUUAACGGGGUGUCGAUUCCGUUGCGAGUUGUCCCGGUUAGAGUUGGGUGAGUUUCCUGUAGUUUUUUCUUAUCUCCUUUGUUUGUUAAUUCAUGUUUUCUUUUCUCACUUUGUUUUAGUUAAUCACUUAAAAUAAUUUGGCUUAAUCCUCUAAGUUAGUACAUUAGUUCUCUCUUGUGGCUCUAUUUAUGUUGGUUUGAAUCAUUUCAGUUUUGAUUUCUGAAUUCUAAUUGUGUGCUCAGUCGUUCUUCCUGAUUCAUUUAGUCGAUUUUAGUUCGUUUCGAAGUCGACUUUCCUGUCAAUUCUAGUUUGAGCUUAGUUUUUAUGUUUAAUUGUUUGUUUGCUAAACUCUAAUUUCCCUGCUUUGCUACUUCUGAUUCAAAACAAUUCUAGUGUUAUGUUUAAUUCUUAAAGUUUUAGUUUUAAUUGUAGUUUAUUAGAACCUGCAUUAGAUGAUUUUAGUUAGUUAGCCUUUAUUAGUAUUAGUUAAUUAGCUAUAAAUAGAUAAAUUGGUUAUAGCUGAAGAAGUCAGCUGUUAAGUUAACUAGGGUUCAGUUCUUAACUAAAGGUUAAAGGGUUGGGUCAAUUGGCUUUAGCUGUAAUUUUAGGGCUGUUAAAAUGGUAGUUUAGACACAGAAAGUGGCAGAAUCUUUAAAAAACAGUAAUUUUAAAAUACGGAAGGGUAACUUAGGAAUUGUAUAACAAAAAGAGUAUACUAGGUGCUUCUAGAAUAGGGUACAAGUACAGAUUUCAGUUCUUAAAAGUAUUUACUUAGUGAGCAAGUUAAAAAUUAAGGGACCAAGCUAUAAAUAAGUAGGGAAUAAUGGUGCAAAUGAAAAAUCUAAGUGUUGCCCUUAUUUGUCUCUAUAAAAGGGCAUUAAAUGCCUGGUAAAAGGGGUCUUCAACUUUUCAGCCUAAAAAUCCAAAGAAAAAGCUUUCCUCUUUUCUCAAAAUUUCAGAUUAACUAGUAGAUUCAAACAAUCAAAAAUACAAAACAUCAGAAAAUGAAAAAUCAAAAAAUAUUUUUCACUAUUUCAUUGAUUAUUGAGUGAUUUUCAGUUUUUUUAGUACUAAAAUGAAAAACCAAAAAUAUUUUUCAUUAUUUCAUUGAUUAUUGAGUGAUUUUCAGUUUUUUCAGUACUCUUCAGUUCUAGUCGAGAUCUUGGUUCUAGGCUGUAUAGAAUUUGCUUGAUAGCUGGUUGAAGGGAUUGUGGGGUUUAUCUAGUUUGAAUUCCAGUGUGUGUAUGCUUCCAGUAGGUUUUCAGAAGUACUGAGGCUAAGUCUUGGGAACUGUUUUGUAUUUUGAAUGUAUAGUGGGUUGAUCUAUUGGGGUUUGGUUGCUCAAUGAGUAUUGCUGGUUUUUAAAAGUACUUCCUGAUUGCUCUUUUGGUUUUGUACCGCUGGUUGUGUUCCCGCUGUUGGCUUCCAUCUUUAUUUGAGCUUACUUCUGCUGCUGCUCACUGUUAGCUCCUGGCUCACUUUUGUUGGUUUUGCUGUUGUAACAGGGUACAUAUUUUGAAUCUCGCAAUAUGAAAUCAAGUUUGAAGAUGGAAUGAAGCAAAUUUUGUCUUAAUCUUAUUUGUUUCCAUGUGUUAAAAAUGGUCUUUCUCUCACAUUUGUUUCAUUUAAAUUAGUGAUAUGGUGAUUUGUCCUCUAGAAUAGUUAAGAAUCAGGAUGUAGCUGAUCAUGGACUCGUGUUAAAAAUGGUCUUGCUCUUACGUUUGUUUCAUUUAAAUUAGUGAUAUGGUGAUUUAUCCUCUAGAAUAGUUAAGAAUCAGGCUGUAGCUGAUCAUGGAUUCUUAAAUUUGAUUUGUUUAGAUUAUGUGGCUCUGGUUUAGUAUCGAUGGUGCAAGUUAACUGUAUAGCCCUUUGUUAUAGAUGUGGAAAUAUCUGAAGAAUUCUUAUGUUAUAUCUGUUGACAGUGAAGGAAUUGAAUACUCUGUUAAGAAGUUGGUUUAUGCUUUGAUAGUGAGCUUUGUUGAAGCAUGAAAAUUACUAAGAAUUUCGACCUACCAUAACUUUGUUUCUUGCGAAAAACGCUUUCGAAGUUUUACUAGAAUGCUAAGAGGAUUAGUCUAAAUAUUAAAAUCAGG